rnacentral:rRNA from 1 species
UACGUAGGGUGCAAGCGUUAAUCGGAAUUACUGGGCGUAAAGCGUGCGCAGGCGGCUUUGCAAGACAGAUGUGAAAUCCCCGGGCUUAACCUGGGAACUGCAUUUGUGACUGCAUGGCUGGAGUGCGGCAGAGGGGGAUGGAAUUCCGCGUGUAGCAGUGAAAUGCGUAGAUACGCGGAGGAACACCGAUGGCGAAGGCAAUCCCCUGGGCCUGCACUGACGCUCAUGCACGAAAGCGUGGGGAGCAAACAGG